rnacentral:tRNA from 1 species
GCCGGCGUAGCUCAGUUGGCAGAGCAACUGACUUGUAAUCAGUAGGUUAUGGGUUCGAGUCCCAUCGCCGGCU